GAUGAACGCUGGCGGCGUGCUUAACACAUGCAAGUCGAACGGACAGACGCUGCGUUUGCGGGGUGCACGAGUGCCGAAGGCGUGAGUAAAACGCGAGUAACAUCUACUUGUAAGUCGGAUAUAAUCAGGGAACUGGGGAGCAUAUCCGAUAUGAUAUACUGAUCCAUGGUGGGGGAUGGAAAAUUUCGGCGGUUCGGGAUGGACUCGAGGGUUAUCCGCUUGAUGGUGGGGUAGGGGCUGACCAAGGCUUUGAAGGGUAGCCCGCCUGAGAGGGUGACCGGCCACAUUGGGACUGAGAUACGGCCCAGACUCCUACGGGAGGCAGCAGGGGGGAAUAUUGCACAAUGGGCGGAAGCCUGAUGCAGCAACGCCGCGUGCGGGAUGACGGCCUUCGGGUUGUAAACCGCUUUCGCCUGUGACGAAGCGUGAGUGACGGUAAUGGGUAAAGAAGCACCGGCUAACUACGUG
rnacentral:rRNA from 1 species